GUAGGGAAUAUUGGACAAUGGGGGCAACCCUGAUCCAGCGACGCCGCGUGGGUGAUGAAGGCCUUCGGGUCGUAAAGCUCUGUUGCAGGGGAAGAACACAAUGACGGUACCCUGCUAGAAAGGAUCGGCUAACUUCGUGCCAGCAGCCGCGGUAAGACGAGGGAUCCUAGCGUUGUUCGGAAUUAUUGGGCGUAAAGCGGGUGCAGGUGGCUUGGUAAGUCAGAUGUGAAAGCCUGGGGCUUAACCCCAGAAGUGCAUUUGAUACUGCUGAGCUUGAGUGCUGGAGAGGCUAUUAGAAUUCCUGGUGUAGUGGUGAAAUACGUAGAUAUCAGGAGGAAUACCGGAGGCGAAGGCGGAUAGCUGGCCAGACACUGACACUGAGGCACGAAAGCGUGGGGAGCAAACAGGAUUAGAUACCCCAGUAGUCC
rnacentral:rRNA from 1 species